rnacentral:rRNA from 1 species
GUCUAUGGCCAUGCUACCCUGAACAAGCCAGCUCCUGUCUGACUUCGGAAGCUAAGCAGGAUUGGGACUGGUUAGUACUUCGAUGGGAGACCACCUAAGAAGACCAGGUGCUGUAGGUG